UCUAGAUUGCUUAGAGGCUAAGUAUAAUAGGGAAUAUAAUAUAUAGGGGCAUUGGAACUGUUUCAAUUUAAGCAAGAAUUAGAAACCUCUCCUCUAUCACUUCUCUCUCUCACACACAUCGUCGUCUCUCUCCCUCCUCUCUGCGCCUACAUCCUCUCCCUACCCUAAGCCGACACCGCCGCCUUCACCAGAAGUAGCCGAUGCAAUAGGGCCUCCGCUCCCACAACCCGCUCCACCACCCCUAACCAUCCAGCCCCAAGAAAGGCCGUGAGAGGGUGAUUACAUCCGGUGGCUACAACGCCCUCAGUGGCACUCCUGUUGACAUUGCGGCAGCUCCACAGCCACCAAUCGAAAGCAACAUCAAGGCAAUGUCCUUCAAAGGGUCAUGGACAGUGGAAGAGGAUAGCAUUUUGAGGGAUAUGGUAAUACGUCUUGGUGAAGGAAAGUGGUGCAUGAUAGCAAAAUCUUUACCCGGUCGGAUUGGCAAGCAGUGUCGUGAAAGAUGGAUCAAUCAUCUGAACCCCAACAUCAAG